UUAAGUUAGAAAGGGCGCACGGUGGAUGCCUUGGCACUAGGAGCCGAUGAAGGACGGGACGAACACCGAUAUGCUUCGGGGAGCUGUAAGCAAGCUUUGAUCCGGAGAUUUCCGAAUGGGGAAACCCACCACUCGUAAUGGAGUGGUAUCCAUAUCUGAAUACAUAGGAUAUGAGAAGGCAGACCCGGGGAACUGAAACAUCUAAGUACCCGGAGGAAGAGAAAGCAAAUGCGAUUCCCUGAGUAGCGGCGAGCGAAACGGGACCAGCCCAAACCAAGAGGCUUGCCUCUUGGGGUUGUAGGACACUCUGUACGGAGUUACAAAGGAACGAGGUAGAUGAAGAGGCCUGGAAAGGCCCGCCAUAGGAGGUAACAGCCCUGUAGUCAAAACUUCGUUCUCUCCUGAGUGGAUCCUGAGUACGGCGGAACACGUGAAAUUCCGUCGGAAUCCGGGAGGACCAUCUCCCAAGGCUAAAUACUCCCUAGUGACCGAUAGUGAACCAGUACCGUGAGGGAAAGGUGAAAAGCACCCCGGAAGGGGAGUGAAAGAGAUCCUGAAACCGUGUGCCUACAAGUAGUCAGAGCCCGUUAACGGGUGAUGGCGUGCCUUUUGUAGAAUGAACCGGCGAGUUACGAUCCCGUGCAAGGUUAAGCAGAAGAUGCGGAGCCGCAGCGAAAGCGAGUCUGAAUAGGGCGAAUUGAGUACGUGGUCGUAGACCCGAAACCAGGUGAUCUACCCAUGUCCAGGGUGAAGUUCAGGUAACACUGAAUGGAGGCCCGAACCCACGCACGUUGAAAAGUGCGGGGAUGAGGUGUGGGUAGGGGUGAAAUGCCAAUCGAACCUGGAGAUAGCUGGUUCUCUCCGAAAUAGCUUUAGGGCUAGCCUCAAGGUAAGAGUCUCGGAGGUAGAGCACUGAUUGGACUAGGGGCCCCUACCGGGUUACCGAAUUCAGUCAAACUCCGAAUGCCGAUGACUUAUCCUUGGGAGUCAGACUGCGAGUGAUAAGAUCCGUAGUCGAAAGGGAAACAGCCCAGACCGCCAGCUAAGGUCCCAAAGUAUACGUUAAGUGGAAAAGGAUGUGGAGUUGCUUAGACAACCAGGAUGUUGGCUUAGAAGCAGCCACCAUUUAAAGAGUGCGUAAUAGCUCACUGGUCGAGUGACUCUGCGCCGAAAAUGUACCGGGGCUAAACGUAUCACCGAAGCUGCGGACUGUUCUUCGAACAGUGGUAGGAGAGCGUUCUAAGGGCUGUGAAGCAAGACCGGAAGGACUUGUGGAGCGCUUAGAAGUGAGAAUGCCGGUAUGAGUAGCGAAAGAGGGGUGAGAAUCCCCUCCACCGAAUGCCUAAGGUUUCCUGAGGAAGGCUCGUCCGCUCAGGGUUAGUCGGGACCUAAGCCGAGGCCGAAAGGCGUAGGCGAUGGAUAACAGGUUGAUAUUCCUGUACCACCUCCUCACCAUUUGAGCAAUGGGGGGACGCAGGAGGAUAGGGUAAGCGCGGUAUUGGAUAUCCGCGUCCAAGCAGUUAGGCUGGGAAAUAGGCAAAUCCGUUUCCCGUGAAGGCUGAGCUGUGAUGGCGAGCGAAUUAGGGUAGCGAAGUUCCUGAUUCCACACUGCCAAGAAAAGCCUCUAGCGAGGUGAGAGGUGCCCGUACCGCAAACCGACACAGGUAGGCGAGGAGAGAAUCCUAAGGUGAUCGAGAGAACUCUCGUUAAGGAACUCGGCAAAAUGACCCCGUAACUUCGGGAGAAGGGGUGCUCUGUUAGGGUGCAAGCCCGAGAGAGCCGCAGUGAAUAGGCCCAGGCGACUGUUUAGCAAAAACACAGGUCUCUGCGAAGCCGUAAGGCGAAGUAUAGGGGCUGACGCCUGCCCGGUGCUGGAAGGUUAAGAGGAGCGCUUAGCGUAAGCGAAGGUGCGAAUUGAAGCCCCAGUAAACGGCGGCCGUAACUAUAACGGUCCUAAGGUAGCGAAAUUCCUUGUCGGGUAAGUUCCGACCCGCACGAAAGGCGCAACGAUCUGGGCACUGUCUCAACGAGAGACUCGGUGAAAUUAUAGUACCUGUGAAGAUGCAGGUUACCCGCGACAGGACGGAAAGACCCCGUGGAGCUUUACUGCAGCCUGAUAUUGAAUGUUGGUACAGCUUGUACAGGAUAGGUAGGAGCCUUGGAAACCGGAGCGCCAGCUUCGGUGGAGGCAUCGGUGGGAUACUACCCUGGCUGUAUUGACCUUCUAACCCGCCGCCCUUAUCGGGCGGGGAGACAGUGUCAGGUGGGCAGUUUGACUGGGGCGGUCGCCUCCUAAAAGGUAACGGAGGCGCCCAAAGGUUCCCUCAGAAUGGUUGGAAAUCAUUCGCAGAGUGUAAAGGCACAAGGGAGCUUGACUGCGAGACCUACAAGUCGAGCAGGGACGAAAGUCGGGCUUAGUGAUCCGGUGGUUCCGCAUGGAAGGGCCAUCGCUCAACGGAUAAAAGCUACCCCGGGGAUAACAGGCUUAUCUCCCCAAGAGUCCACAUCGACGGGGAGGUUUGGCACCUCGAUGUCGGCUCAUCGCAUCCUGGGGCUGUAGUCGGUCCCAAGGGUUGGGCUGUUCGCCCAUUAAAGCGGUACGCGAGCUGGGUUCAGAACGUCGUGAGACAGUUCGGUCCCUAUCCGUCGCGGGCGCAGGAAAUUUGAGAGGAGCUGUCCUUAGUACGAGAGGACCGGGAUGGACGCACCGCUGGUGUACCAGUUGUUCUGCCAAGGGCAUCGCUGGGUAGCUAUGUGCGGACGGGAUAAGUGCUGAAAGCAUCUAAGCAUGAAGCCCCCCUCAAGAUGAGAUUUCCCAUUCCGCAAGGAAGUAAGAUCCCUGAAAGAUGAUCAGGUUGAUAGGUCUGAGGUGGAAGUGUGGCGACACAUGGAGCUGACAGAUACUAAUCGAUCGAGGACUUAACCAA
rnacentral:rRNA from 1 species